UACGGAGGAUGCAAGCGUUAUCCGGAAUGAUUGGGCGUAAAGCGUCCGCAGGCGGCUGUGUAAGUCUGCUGUCAAAGAGCAAAGCUCAACUUUGUAAAGGCAGUGGAAACUACACGGCUAGAGUGCGUUCGGGGCAGAGGGAAUUCCUGGUGGAGCGGUGAAAUGCGUUGAUAUCAUCAGGAACACCGGUGGCGAAAGCGGCUUACUGGGUCUCUUCUGACGCUGAGAAACGAAAGCUAGGGGAGCGAAGGGG
rnacentral:rRNA from 1 species